rnacentral:rRNA from 1 species
GAUGAACGCUGGCGGCGUGCCUAAUACAUGCAAGUCGAGCGAACAGACGAGGAGCUUGCUCCUCUGACGUUAGCGGCGGACGGGUGAGUAACACGUGGAUAACCUACCUAUAAGACUGGGAUAACUUCGGGAAACCGGAGCUAAUACCGGAUAAUAUAUUGAACCGCAUGGUUCAAUAGUGAAAGACGGUUUUGCUGUCACUUAUAGAUGGAUCCGCGCUGCAUUAGCUAGUUGGUAAGGUAACGGCUUACCAAGGCAACGAUGCGUAGCCGACCUGAGAGGGUGAUCGGCCACACUGGAACUGAGACACGGUCCAGACUCCGACGGGAGGCAGCAGUAGGGAAUCUUCCGCAAUGGGCGAAAGCUUGACGGAGCAACGCAGCGUGAGUGAUGAAGGUCUUCGGAUCGUAAAACUCUGUUAUUAGGGAAGAACAAAUGUGUAAGUAACUAUGCACGUCUUGACGGUACCUAAUCAGAAAGCCACGGCUAACUACGU